rnacentral:lncRNA from 1 species
UAAUUGUAGAAUAUGCUCAUUAAAGGUCCGGAAGACGCAAAUUGGAUUGUUGAGUAUAAUGGGAAAGAUAACAAGGGUUGACUUGGACCUUCAUGAAGAUUAAUAAGAACUCUUAACUUCCUUUUUGAGGAGCUCAACUUGAAUAUUAGUAUGCCUCAAACCGUUUAGUGUUUCGUGGUAAGAAUGAGCCGCAUUUUAUGAUAUUAUCCCUUACUGAAGACGAACUUAGAACUCAAAGAAAUUAUUACUGGAUCAGUUUCAUCAAAUUCCUUGAUGGAAAGAUGCUCACAUUAUACAUGUAUCGCCAUCAGAGGGAAUUGUCUCAUGAUGACCCCUCAUACUAUGUACAAGAUCUACAACCCAUCAAACUCCAAUCAUAAUAAAUAAAUAAUUUAAUCAAUAAA